UACGUAGGGUGCGAGCGUUGUCCGGAAUUAUUGGGCGUAAAGAGCUCGUAGGCGGCUUGUCGCGUCGGAUGUGAAAGCCCGGGGCUUAACUCCGGGUCUGCAUUCGAUACGGGCAGGCUAGAGUGUGGUAGGGGAGAUCGGAAUUCCUGGUGUAGCGGUGAAAUGCGCAGAUAUCAGGAGGAACACCGGUGGCGAAGGCGGAUCUCUGGGCCAUUACUGACGCUGAGGAGCGAAAGCGUGGGAGCGAACAGG
rnacentral:rRNA from 1 species